UACGUAGGGUGCGAGCGUUGUCCGGAAUUAUUGGGCGUAAAGAGCUCGUAGGCGGCUUGUCGCGUCGGAUGUGAAAGCCCGGGGCUUAACUCCGGGUCUGCAUUCGAUACGGGCAGGCUAGAGUUCGGUAGGGGAGAUCGGAAUUCCUGGUGUAGCGGUGAAAUGCGCAGAUAUCAGGAGGAACACCUAUAGCGAAGGCAGCUUGCUGGGACGUUACUGACGCUAAGGCGCGAAAGCGUGGGGAGCGAACAGG
rnacentral:rRNA from 1 species